GACGUAGGGCGCGAGCGUUGUCCGGAUUUAUUGGGCGUAAAGAGCUCGUAGGCGGCUUGUCGCGUCGUUCGUGAAAACCCGGGGCUCAACUCCGGGCUUGCGGGCGAUACGGGCAGGCUGGAGUUCGGUAGGGGAGACUGGAAUUCCUGGUGUAGCGGUGAAAUGCGCAGAUAUCAGGAGGAACACCGAUGGCGAAGGCAGGUCUCUGGGCCGAUACUGACGCUGAGGAGCGAAAGCGUGGGGAGCGAACAGG
rnacentral:rRNA from 1 species